rnacentral:miRNA from 1 species
UGCACCCCGGAAUCGGGCUCC